rnacentral:rRNA from 1 species
UACGUAGGGGGCGAGCGUUGUCCGGAUUCAUUGGGCGUAAAGAGCUCGUAGGCGGCUUGGCAAGCCGGGUGUGAAAACUCCAGGCUCAACCUGGAGACGCCACCCGGGACUGCUAUGGCUAGAGUCCGGUAGGGGAUCACGGAAUUCCUGGUGUAGCGGUGAAAUGCGCAGAUAUCAGGAGGAACACCGGUGGCGAAGGCGGCAUCCUGGACCGGCAUUGACGCUGAGGCGCGAAAGCUAGGGGAGCAAACGGG